rnacentral:rRNA from 1 species
GACGAACGCUGGCGGCGUGCUUAACACAUGCAAGUCGAACGGAAAGGCCUGCUUUCCCUUGUGGAUUGCGGGUACUCGAGUGGCGAACGGGUGAGUAACACGUGAGUGAUCUGCCCCCAACUUGGGUAUAAGCCUGGGAAACUGGGUCUAAUUCCCGAUAGGACUGCAGGGUGGUGCCUGUGGUGGAAAACGAUUUUCUAGUGGUUGGGGAUGAGCUCGCGGCCUAUCAGCUUGUUGGUGGGGUAAUGGCCUACCAAGGCGGCGACGGGUAGCCGGCCUGAGAGGGUGGACGGCAACAUUGGGACUGAGAUACGGCCCAGAAUCCUACGGGAGGCAGCAGUGGGGAAUAUUGCACAAUGGGCGGAAGCCUGAUGCAGCGACGCCGCGUGGGGGAUGACGGCCUUCGGGUUGUAAACUCCUUUCGACCGCGAGGAAGCCACCUGGUUGGAAGGGUGGUGACGGUAGUGGUAGAAGAAGCACCGGCUAACUGCGUG